rnacentral:piRNA from 1 species
AGUUGGAAUAGGAGCUUGCUCCG